rnacentral:rRNA from 1 species
AUUGAACGCUGGCGGCAGGCCUAACACAUGCAAGUCGGACGGUAGCACAGAGAGCUUGCUCUUGGGUGACGAGUGGCGGACGGGUGAGUAAUGUCUGGGGAUCUGCCCGAUAGAGGGGGAUAACCACUGGAAACGGUGGCUAAUACCGCAUAACGUCGCAAGACCAAAGAGGGGGACCUUCGGGCCUCUCACUAUCGGAUGAACCCAGAUGGGAUUAGCUAGUAGGCGGGGUAAUGGCCCACCUAGGCGACGAUCCCUAGCUGGUCUGAGAGGAUAGCCAGCCACACUGGAACUGAGACCCGGUCCAGACUCCUGCGGGAGGCAGCAGUGGGGAAUAUUGCACAAUGGUCACAAGCCUGAUGCAGCCAUGCCGCGUGUAUGAAGAAGGCCUUCGGGUUGUAAAGUACUUUCAGCGGGGAGGAAGGCGGUGAGGUUAAUAACCUCGCCGAUUGACGUUACCCGCAGAAGAAGCACCGGCUAACUCCGUGCCAGCAGCCGCCGUAA